AAGACAUUAGUAAAAACGUAAAUUAUACCACCUUGUCAAGGUGAAGUUGCAGGUUAAAUUCCUGCAUGUCUUA
rnacentral:tRNA from 1 species